rnacentral:rRNA from 1 species
AUGCUGGCGGCGUGCCUAACACAUGCAAGUCGAGCGGCAGCGAGUUUUACACUGAAUUCUGGAAGCUUCUGGGUAAUAUAGAAGAUCUAUUCAAGAAUUUUGUGUAAAAUGUCGGCGAGCGGCGGACGGCUGAGUAACGCGUAGGAAUUUGCCCCAAAGUGAGGAAUAACUGCCCGAAAGGGUAGCUAAUGCCGCAUAUGGUCUUCGGAUUAAAGCCUUCGGGCGCUUUGGGAGAAGCCUGCGUUGGAUUAGGUAGUUGGUAGGGUAAUGGCCUACCAAGCCGACGAUCCAUAGCUGGUCUGAGAGGAUGAUCAGCCAGACUGGAACUGAGACACGGUCCAGACUCCUACGGGAGGCAGCAGUGAGGAAUCUUCCACAAUGGGCGAAAGCCUGAUGGAGCAACGCCGCGUGAAGGAUGAAGGCCUUCGGGUUGUAAACUUCUUUUAUGAGUGAAGAAUAUGACGGUAACUCAUGAAUAAGCACCGGCUAACUACGUGCCAGCAGCCGCGGUCAUACGUAGGGUGCAAGCAUUAUCCGGAGUGACUGGGCGUAAAGAGUUGCGUAGGCGGUUUAAUAAGUGAAUAGUGAAACCUGGUGGCUCAACCAUACAGACUAUUAUUCAAACUGUUAAACUCGAGAAUGGUAGAGGUAACUGGAAUUUCUAGUGUAGGAGUGAAAUCCGUAGAUAUUAGAAGGAACACCGAUGGCGUAGGCAGGUUACUGGGCCAUUUCUGACGCUAAGGCACGAAAGCGUGGGGAGCGAACCGGAUUAGAUACCCGGGUAGUCCACGCCGUAAACGAUGGAUACUAGCUGUUGGAGGUAUCGACCCCUUCAGUAGCGAAGCUAACGCGUUAAGUAUCCCGCCUGUGGAGUACGGCCGCAAGGCUAAAACAUAAAGGAAUUGACGGG